rnacentral:rRNA from 1 species
AGCAGCCGCAGUAAUUCCAGCUCCAAUAGCGUAUAUUAAAGUUGUUGCAGUUAAAAAGCUCGUAGUUGAAUUUCGGAAUCAGUACGCCAGUCAUGCUUCGGUAUGUACUAGUGUCACUGAUUCCUUCCUUCUGACGAACCGUCGUGCCAUUAAUUUAGUGUGAUGUGGAAUCAGGACUGUUACUUUAGAAAAAAUUAGAGUGUUUAAAGAAGGCUCGCGCUUGAAUACAUUAGCAUGGAAUAAUGAAAUAGGACGUUUGAUCUUAUUUUGUGGUUUCUAGAAUCGAUGUAAUGAUUAAUAGGGAUAGUUGGGGGCAUUAGUAUUCAAUUGUCAGAGGUGAAAUUCUUGGAUUUAUUGAAGACUAACUACUGCGAAAGCAUUUGCCA